CGAAUUUCUAUUUUUUUUUGGACCGAACCGGACCGAAAUAACCAUAUGGACCGAACCGGAACCGAACCGCAAUAAUUCGGUUCGGUUCGGUUUUUCUCUACAGAACCGAUUUUUCGCCCAAAUAUAUAAAAAAGCUAAUAAAAUGGAUACAAACACAACAUAAUUGUUAAUCAGUUCCGAUCUGCAAAGUUUCAGGCUACAGUAGGCAGUAGCUAUCAAAUUUAUUACAAAGCUCCGAUUCUUCAAACUUAAACAUUGAGGAGAUCUAGCAACGAACCUCGGAUAAGUUUGAAUCUUCGAUUCUUGAAACUUGAUGACUGAAAUCUUCGAUUCUCUACUUGUGAUUAGCGGUAGUCGGAUAAGUUAAAUGAACCUCAGUAGGUUGGAUCUUUGAUAACUGAUUAGGGCGGCUGAUUUUGAGCUGAGGCUGCUGAUUAGGCUAUGUCGCUAGGGGUGAGUUUGUGAUUAGGGUCAGUGUACAGUGGGUUUGGUGUGUGGCUACAGAGUACAUACUCAG
rnacentral:lncRNA from 1 species